UACGGAGGAUGCGAGCGUUAUCCGGAUUUAUUGGGUUUAAAGGGUGCGUAGGCGGGAUGCCAAGUCAGCGGUAAAAUUGCGGGGCUCAACCUCGUCGAGCCGUUGAAACUGGGUGCCUUGAGUGGGCGAGAAGUACGCGGAAUGCGUGGUGUAGCGGUGAAAUGCAUAGAUAUCACGCAGAACUCCGAUUGCGAAGGCAGCGUACCGGCGCCCAACUGACGCUGAAGCACGAAGGCGUGGGUAUCGAACAGG
rnacentral:rRNA from 1 species